rnacentral:piRNA from 1 species
UGGCACUUCCGUACCCCCAUUUAGGGCAC